rnacentral:ncRNA from 1 species
AUCUUCAGGGCAGGGUGAAAUUCCCUACCGGCGGUAAAGCCCGCGAGCCUAUAUGGCAUGAUUCGGUGAAAUUCCGAGGCCGACAGUAAAGUCUGGAUGGAAGAAGAUA